rnacentral:ncRNA from 1 species
CCUUAUCAAGAGUGGCUGAGGGAAUAGGCCCGAAGACGCCCGGCAACCUAGGUGCUUUCACCGGUGCAUGCACAGUUUUGCGUGAUUCCGGAGAAAAGUAGAAAAGGUGCUAAAUCCUACAGAAAUCGAUUUCUGAAAGAUGAGG